UACAGAGGGUGCAAGCGUUGUUCGGAAUUAUUGGGCGUAAAGGGAGUGUAGGCGGUGAGUUAAGUCUGCUGUGAAAUCUACGGGCUUAGCCUGUAAAGUGCAGCGGAAACUGGCUGACUUGAGUAUCGGAGAGGGCAGGGGAAUACCCAGUGUAAGAGGUGAAAUUCGUAAGAUAUUCGGAAGAACACCAGUGGCGAAGGCGACUCACUGGACAACUGUUGACGCUGAGGUGA
rnacentral:rRNA from 1 species